GACAGAGGAUGCAAGCGUUAUCCGGAAUGAUUGGGCGUAAAGCGUCUGUAGGUGGCUUUUAAGUCCGCCGUCAAAUCCCAGGCUCAACCCUGGACAGGCGGUGGAAACUACCAAGCUGGAGUACGGUAGGGCAGAGGGAAUUCCGGUGGAGCGGUGAAAUGCGUAGAGAUCGGAAAGAACACCAACGGCGAAAGCACUCUGCUGGCCGACACUGACACUGAGAGACGAAGCUAGGGGAGCGAAUGG
rnacentral:rRNA from 1 species